GAUGAACGCUGGCGGCGUGCCUAAUACAUGCAAGUCGAGCGAACAGAUGAGGAGCUUGCUCCUCUGACGUUAGCGGCGGACGGGUGAGUAACACGUGGAUAACCUACCUAUAAGACUGGGAUAACUUCGGGAAACCGGAGCUAAUACCGGAUAAUAUAUUGAACCGCAUGGGUCAAUAGUGAAAGACGGUUUUGCUGUCACUUAUAGAUGGAUCUGCGCCGCAUUAGCGAGUUGGUAAGGUAACGGCUUACCAAGGCAACGAGGCGUAGCCGACGUGAGAGGGUGAUCGGCCACACUGGAACUGAGACACGGUCCAGACUCCUACGGGAGGCAGCAGUAGGGAAUCGUCCGCAAUGGGCGAAAGCUUGACGGAGCAGCGCCGAGUGAGUGAUGAAGGUCUUCGGAUCGUAAAACUCUGUUAUUAGGGAAGAACCACUGUGUAAGUAACUAUGCACGUCUUGACGGUACCUAAUCAGAAAGCCACGGCUAACUACGUG
rnacentral:rRNA from 1 species